AUCCGGCUGACGAGUCUCAAAUAGGACGAAACGUGCGUCCUGGAU
rnacentral:hammerhead_ribozyme from 1 species